GGUGGGGUUACUGAUUCCAAAAUCUAGAGCUGAACUUAAAAGCAUUCCCGCAUUAUACUGGUGGGCGACCUAGAACUUAAAAUGUAUUCCCGCAUUAUACUGGUGGGCGACCUAGAACUUAAAAUGUAUUCCCGCAUUAUACUGGUGGGCGACCUAGAACUUAAAUGUAUUCCCGCAUUAUACUGGUGGGCGACCUAGAACUUAAAAUGUAUUCCCGCAUUAUACUGGUAGGCGACCUAGAACUAUUCCCGCAUUAUACUGGUGGGCGACCUAGAACUUAAAAUGUAUUCCCGCAUUAUACUGGUGGGCGACCUAGAACUUAAAUGUAUUCCCGCAUUAUACUGGUGGGCGACCUAGAACUUAAAUGUAUUCCCGCAUUAUACUGGUGGGCGACCUAGAACUUAAAUGUAUUCCCGCAUUAUACUGGUGGGCGACCUAGAACUUAAAUGUAUUUGAAAUUGUUUCCCCGUUCUUCCGAGAAAAUUUUUUACAAUCGGUAGAAAAUUUUCUGCCCCG
rnacentral:lncRNA from 1 species